UUACCCCGCCCUACUAAGCAUAUCAAUAAGCGGAGGAAAAGAAACCAACAGGGAUUGCCUCAGUAACGGCGAGUGAAGCGGCAAAAGCUCAAAUUUGAAAUCUGGAGCCUUCGGCUUCCGAGUUGUAAUUUGAAGAGGAUGUUUCGGUCGCGGCUUGGGCCCAAGUUCCUUGGAACAGGACGUCAUGGAGGGUGAGAAUCCCGUACGUGGCUACCGGCUUGCUUCUAUGUGAAACUCCUUCGAAGAGUCGAGUUGUUUGGGAAUGCAGCUCAAAAUGGGUGGUAAAUUUCAUCUAAAGCUAAAUAUUGGCGAGAGACCGAUAGCGCACAAGUAGAGUGAUCGAAAGAUGAAAAGCACUUUGAAAAGAGAGUUAAACAGUACGUGAAAUUGUUGAAAGGGAAGCGCUUGCAAUCAGACUCGCUUUCGGUUGAUCAACGUUCCUUUUGGUUCGUGCACUCUGCCGUUUGCGGGCCAGCAUCAGUUGAAGCGGUGGGACAAAGGUUUUGGGAAUGUGGCUCCCUCGGGAGUGUUAUAGCCCUUUUCGUAAUGCCACCUGUUUCGAUUGAGGUCCGCGGUUCGCCUAGGAUGCUGGCUUAAUGGUUGUAAGCGACCCGUCUUGAAACACGGACCAAGGAGUCUAACAUCUAUGCGAGUCUUUGGGUGUCAAACCCAUGGGCGAAAUGAAAGUGAACGGAGGUGGGAGUCUUCGGAUGCACCAUCGACCGAUCCUGAUGUUCUCGGAUGGAUUUGAGUAGGAGCAUAGCUGUUGGGACCCGAAAGAUGGUGAACUAUGCCUGAAUAGGGUGAAGCCAGAGGAAACUCUGGUGGAGGCUCGCAGCGGUUCUGACGUGCAAAUCGAUCGUCAAAUUUGGGUAUAGGGGCGAAAGACUAAUUCGAAUCAUUCUAGUAGCUGGGUUCUGCGAGUCCCCUCUCUCAGGGAAA
rnacentral:rRNA from 1 species